UGUAGUUCAGUUGGUAGAACGGCGGACUGUUAAUCCGUAUGUCACUGGUUCGAGUCCAGUCU
rnacentral:tRNA from 1 species